AGAAUAAGGCAUACUUCCUCCCUCACCGCUCCAUGUGCGUCCCUCCCGGAGCUGCGCGCUCGGUUGAAGAGGACGACCAUCCCCGCUAGAGGAGGACCAUUCUUCGGUCAAGGGUAUACAAGUAGCUGCGCUCCCCUGCUAGAACCUCCAAACAAGAAUAAGGCAUAAAAGACAAAUUGUGAGCUUCUCAUUCAAAGGCAGGGCUUGCCGGGGAUGAGCGUCAUUAUAAGGCUAGAGCACAGGAACCUGGACCUUUUGCU
rnacentral:sRNA from 1 species